GCCCCUUGCACCUGGAUGCACUCCUCCUCAGAAGGAAAAUGCCAUCGUUUGUAUUCUUGGCAAGCAGUUGGCUCUGCAAUGAUUGAAGCAACCGGUCCAUCUUUCACAGCUUCUCCUCGAAGACAAUGAGCUGACUGCCUUGGCCCAUCCAUCUCAAGGAGAGGUGCCACACUUCGCAGAAUAAAGCGCUAAUUGACGUAAGCGAGGAUGCUGAGGUUCACCCCAGGGGACUUGAAAAUGUUGUUUAUUGAAUCAAUUAUGUUCACAGCGUGA